GAUCUCGCAAUGGCUCUGAACAACUCCCUGACCUGCCCUUUGGCCACUGCUCACAACCUUGGGGUAACCAUGGACAAUCAGCUGUCAUUUUCCUCCCAUGUUACUAAUGUCACACGCUCAUGACAGUUUCUUCAGUGCAACAUCAGAAGGAUUCAGCCAUUUCUGUCCACACAGGCUGCUCAGGUGCUUGUUCAGUCUUCAGAUAGGAGAGUUCAAAAACAGAUGGCCUGCCCUGUUCCUUGAGAGUGAAAUAAAUGCAGAGUUCUUGUGGAUCACUACCAAGCCACUGCGAUCGAAGUUCCUGUCACAGCAGGACCAUUUCUCAGACAAACUAAUACAGCAAUCUUCAACAAGAAAGGAGGACUGAAGGGGCAGAAGAUCAAGGAUGUCCUGGAUAUCAAAGAUCCUUGUGACAGCAUUGACAUCAGGAGGGAAUGCAUCCUGAGGAGCCUUGUGAUCUAUCUCAAUGAGGAUCCAGACUCUUUUUUACAAGGAAUAUCUGGUAAGUUUAUCACAAUAUACCUCCCAUACGGCCUAACACAGUUACUUCGUCCAUGACACGUUAUUAUCGAAUCACAUGAGUCAUGAGUCCUAAAUCAGUAAA